rnacentral:rRNA from 1 species
AUUGAACGCUGGCGGCAUGCCUUACACAUGCAAGUCGAACGGUAACAGGUCUUCGGAUGCUGGCGAGUGGCGAACGGGUGAGUAAUACAUCGGAACGUGCCCGAUCGUGGGGGAUAACGAAGCGAAAGCUUUGCUAAUACCGCAUAAGAUCUACGGAUGAAAGCAGGGGACCGCAAGGCCUUGCGCGAACGGAGCGGCCGAUGGCAGAUUAGGUAGUUGGUGGGAUAAAAGCUUACCAAGCCGACGAUCUGUAGCUGGUCUGAGAGGACGACCAGCCACACUGGGAUUGAGACACGGCCCAGACUCCUACGGGAGGCAGCAGUGGGGAAUUUUGGACAAUGGGCGAAAGCCUGAUCCAGCCAUGCCGCGUGCAGGAUGAAGGCCUUCGGGUUGUAAACUGCUUUUGUACGGAACGAAAAGACUCUGGUUAAUACCUGGGGUCCAUGACGGUACCGUAAGAAUAAGCACCGGCUAACUACGUG